rnacentral:rRNA from 1 species
GCGAGCGGCGGAUGGGUGAGUAACACGGGGGAAGGUGCCCCUAAGUCUGGGAUACCAUUUGGAAACAGGUGCUAAUACCGGAUAAUAAAGCAGAUCGCAUGAUCAGCUUUUGAAAGGCGGCGUAAGCUGUCGCUAAGGGAUGGCCCCGCGGUGCAUUAGCUAGUUGGUAAGGUAACGGCUUACCAAGGCGACGAUGCAUAGCCGAGUUGAGAGACUGAUCGGCCACAUUGGGACUGAGACACGGCCCAAACUCCUACGGGAGGCAGCAGUAGGGAAUCUUCCACAAUGGACGCAAGUCUGAUGGAGCAACGCCGCGUGAGUGAAGAAGGUUUUCGGAUCGUAAAGCUCUGUUGUUGGUGAAGAAGGAUAGAGGUAGUAACUGGCCUUUAUUUGACGGUAAUCAACCAGAAAGUCACGGCUAACUACGUGCCAGCAGCCGCGGUAAUACGUAGGUGGCAAGCGUUGUCCGGAUUUAUUGGGCGUAAAGCGAGCGCAGGCGGAAAAAUAAGUCUAAUGUGAAAGCCCUCGGCUUAACCGAGGAACUGCAUCGGAAACUGUUUUUCUUGAGUGCAGAAGAGGAGAGUGGAACUCCAUGUGUAGCGGUGGAAAUGCGUAGAUAUAUGGAAGAACACCAGUGGCGAAGGCGGCUCUCUGGUCUGCAACUGACGCUGAGGCUCGAAAGCAUGGGUAGCGAACAGGAUUAGAUACCCUGGUAGUCCAUGCCGUAAACGAUGAGUGCUAAGUGUUGGGGAAGGUUUCCGCCUCUCA